AGAGCGAACGCUGGCGGCGUGCUUAACACAUGCAAGUCGAACGCGCAGCAUUCUGUAGCAAUACAGGGUGUGGGCGCGUGGCGAACGGGUGCGUAACACGUGGAUAACCUUCCUUGAGGUGGGGAAUAACCCAGUGAAAAUUGGGCUAAUACCGCAUAACAUCGCGAUGGCACAUGCUGAUGCGAUCAAAGGCGCAAGUCGCCACAAGAGGGAUCCGCGGCCGAUUAGCUUGUUGGCGAGGUAAUGGCUCACCAAGGCAAUGAU
rnacentral:rRNA from 1 species